CCUACGGGAGUCAGCAGUGAGGAAUAUUGGUCAAUGGACGAGAGUCUGAACCAGCCAAGUAGCGUGAAGGAUGAAUGCCCUAUGGGUUGUAAACUUCUUUUAUAUGGGAAUAAAAUGUUCCACGUGUGGGAUUUUGUAUGUACCAGAUGAAUAAGCAUCGGCUAACUCCGUGCCAGCAGCCGCGGUAAUACGGAGGAUCCGAGCGUUAUCCGGAUUUAUUGGGUUUAAAGGGAGCGUAGGCGGAUUUUUAAGUCAGUUGUGAAAGUUUGCGGCUCAACCGUAAAAAUGCAGUUGAAACUGGCAGUCUUGAGUACAGUAGAGGUGGGCGGAAUUCGUGGUGUAGCGGUGAAAUGCUUAGAUAUCACGAAGAACUCCGAUUGCGAAGGCAGCUCACUGGACUGCAACUGACACUGAGGCUCGAAGGUGUGGGUAUCGAACAGGAUUAGAUACCCCAGUAGUC
rnacentral:rRNA from 1 species